rnacentral:lncRNA from 1 species
AGAAGGUCAAGGUUAACCUUCUCUUUUACCUCUUUAGGAAUGCCACGUGUAUAAUGAAUCUUUGCAAGUACAACUUCCAUGUAUUGCUGUUGUCUGAAUUCAUGUCAGUGGAGUUCCUUAUGGCAAUGAAAAAGCGGCUCUGAGAACUUAUGCGACUGGAUCAAGGUAACACAGCUAACAGAUAGAAGACUUUAUCAACUUGUUCCCUUGUUCUGAAUUUCUGAUGAAGAGCCAAGAACCUGGUUGAAUUGAUUUUUUUUUUAAGAUUGGCACCUGAGCUAACAGCUAUUGCCAAUCUUCUUUUUGUUUUUUUUUUCCUGCUUUUUCUCCCCAAAGCCCCUUAGUGCAUAGUUGUGUAUUUUAGUUGUGGGUCCUUCUAGUUGUGGCAUGUGGGACGCCGCCUCA